AACGUAGGAGACAAACGUUAUCCGGAGUUACUGGGCGUAAAGGGCGUGCAGGUGGUCAUUUAAGUUCGGCGUGAAAGCGCCUGGCUAAACCGGGCGAGGUCGUCGGAGACUGGAUGGCUAGAGGGUGAUAGAGGCGGGUGGAAUUCCGGGUGUAGUGGUGAAAUGCGUAGAGAUCCGGAGGAACACCAGUGGCGAAGGCGACCCGCUGGGUCACACCUGACACUGAGACGCGACAGCAUGGGGAGCGAACGGGAUUAGAAACCCCAGUAGUCC
rnacentral:rRNA from 1 species